GAUGAACGCUAGCGGCAGGCUUAACACAUGCAAGUCGAGGGGCAUCACGGGUAGCAAUACCUGGUGGCGACCGGCGCAAGGGUGCGUAACGCGUGAGCAACAUGCCCUAUACAGGGGGAUAAUCCAGGGAAACUUGGUCUAAUAUCCCAUAGCAUUUAGAGGUGGCAUCACCAUUAAAUUAAAGCUUCGGUGGUAUAGGAUUGGCUCGCGUGACAUUAGCUAGAUGGUGGGGUAACGGCUCACCAUGGCUAUGAUGUCUAGGGGUUCUGAGAGGAAGGCCCCCCACACUGGGACUGAGACACGGCCCAGACUCCUACGGGAGGCAGCAGUGAGGAAUAUUGGACAAUGGAUGGAAAUCUGAUCCAGCCAUGCCGCGUGCAGGAAGACAGCCCUAUGGGUUGUAAACUGCUUUUAUAUGGGAGCAAUAAGGUCUACGUGUAGACUGAUGAGAGUACCAUAUGAAUAAG
rnacentral:rRNA from 1 species